CACCACGUCACCCUCGCUCUCGCUCUGGGAAGUCUGUGUCAUCCGCGCCUUCCUUGUCCGUGCUUGCCCUCGCCUGCGUUCUAAGCGCGCAUCGGUAAGCGCAAAUGAAAACGCACAAAUCCCCUGAGCACUCUGCUUUAUGACGUCAUGCUACCUGGACCGAAAUUUCCGUUGGGAAGCCCGACGUGACGAAAUGGUGACGUCAAAAUCACUGCGGCUUACUCGGGAGCGUCCCUAUUAAAUUCUGUGACAGUCGGGCAAGGUACCAUGACGUCACGGAUCAAAGUGCACCGCCUUGGGCCAUUUGGGAAGCAUUGACCAAGCGUCUCAACGGGCUCGCUUGCUCGCGGGGAGGUCAUAACACAAGGGAGCGCUCAGUUUCGUACAAUUGGACAUUAAUGAUUUCUCAUUCACAACUCGUAAAAAAGUGCUUAGGUGUCCCCACAUUUUUUGUACGUUAAACCAUACAGAGUGCAGAACAACUCACUUACCGCUGUUGUUGCUUUUUUUUUUAAUUGUAGAGCAUGCAAGUUUCCCUUGAAUGCUUACCGCUCACGGCGAGAUCGCAUAGUAGGCCCGCAAUAUUUUUUGUUCUCGCUGUGUUUCAUGGCGCUGUGACGGUUGUUACGUUUCGCAUUUCUAUUGCGCCUCGUUCUCUUGUAGCUGCACUGUGUUUCUGUCUGUCUCUCACUUGCUUUGGUUUUCUUGCUACACAGUCGCAGUCGACAUCGUACCCGUCUAAGAAGUGCAUGCAUGGCGGAGGCGCUUCUAAAGUUGCGUCAUCUCGCCGCAGCCGCCACACGGGAGAAAUGUCCGGGUCGGAAUCGCCUGCUUCUGGGUGCACGGCUGUUCCCCAGGCGUCCACUGCAGCCACCGAGGGCACGACCUCGGAGAAGCAGUGCACGCACGCCUAUCUCGCGCGCAUCGCGGAAUCCCAGGAGCGCUUGACUCAACUGAGGGAGCAGCAGGCAGCUGAGGACACCAGUUUUCGUACCCAAGUACUGAGGCGCUUUGAAGAGGUUUGGAGGCCACUUCGCACCUUAAUGCCUUCAAUUAUGGCGAGAUGUUUCUAGCGCUUCCAGGGAAAGAAGAAACUGCGCAGAAAGAAAGACGCAACGGGUGAUUGGACAAGAAGGACGCAGGGCCUUCCAGCCGGUCAUUUCUCUGUUCUUCUACCGCGUUUCUUUUCCCUCAUGAAGUACGAGAAACAUCUCAGAUGUCAGCGUUCUAAUUAAAGCUAAGCUUCGUUCAUUAA
rnacentral:lncRNA from 1 species